rnacentral:rRNA from 1 species
GAACUUGCCUCUUGGACUGGGACAACUGUUGGAAACGACAGCUAAUACCGGAUAUUAUGAGAUUCUCGCAUGAGAAACUUAUGAAAGCUAUAUGCGCCAAGAGAGAGCCUUGCGUUCCAUUAGCUAGUUGGUGGGGUAACGGCCCACCAAGGCGACGAUGGAUAGCCGGCCUGAGAGGGUGAACGGCCACAAGGGGACUGAGACACGGCCCUUACUCCUACGGGAGGCAGCAGUGGGGAAUAUUGGACAAUGGACCAAAAGUCUGAUCCAGCAAUUCUGUGUGCACGAUGAAGGUCUUCGGAUUGUAAAGUGCUUUCAGUUGGGAAGAAGCAAGUGACGGUACCAACAGAAGAAGCGACGGCUAAAUACGUGCCAGCAGCCGCGGUAAUACGUAUGUCGCAAGCGUUAUCCGGAUUUAUUGGGCGUAAAGCGCGUCUAGGCGGAAAAAUAAGUCUGAUGUUAAAAUGCGGGGCUCAACUCCGUAUUGCGUUGGAAACUGUUUUUCUAGAGUACUGGAGAGGUGGGCGGAACUACAAGUGUAGAGGUGAAAUUCGUAGAUAUUUGUAGGAAUGCCGAUGGAGAAGUCAGCUCACUGGACAGAUACUGACGCUGAAGCGCGAAAGCGUGGGGA